AUGCCUACGGGGCGCAGCAGUGAGGAAUAUUGGUCAAUGGGCUUACGCCUGAACCAGCCAAGUCGCGUGAGGGAAGACUGCCCUAUGGGUUGUAAACCUCUUUUGUCAGGGAGCAACGCCGGCUACGUGUAGCCGGACUGAGAGUACCUGAAGAAAAAGCAUCGGCUAACUCCGUGCCAGCAGCCGCGGUAAUACGGAGGAUGCGAGCGUUAUCCGGAUUUACUGGGUGUAAAGGGAGCGUAGACGGCAGGGCAAGUCUGGAGUGAAAGGCUGGGGCCCAACCCCUGGACUGCUCUGGA
rnacentral:rRNA from 1 species